ensembl:lncRNA
GUUCCUGGGAUGUCACUGGUGCCCCCUCUCUCCGCCCACCCCGCCCCGAGCCCCCGCCGCCCGCCCGCCCGCCCGCGUCUCCGUGGAAUUGUCCCCCCACCACCCUGGAAUCGCGUGGCGGGGGGGGGGGCGGGGGGGGGCGGGGAUCGCGGCUCUUUCGUGGCAGCCUCCAGGGGAGAGAUCUCCCGGCUCCUCUCCCUUCCUCUGCGGCCGGGGUCGCGUCGCGUCGCGUCGCUCGGCGGCGGAGGCUCCGGGCCGAGCUCGGGCGUUUGGGCGGCCGGCGCUGUGGCGUCCCCGGCGGCCGGCGACAGCGACCCGUCCUCGGGACGUUCGAGCCGGUUGUCGGGAGCCACCUGGCGGCCGCUUGUAUAUUGUCCCUCCCCCUCCGGAGCUUCGGCGAGCCCUUCAGGAGGGUUGUGACUCAGCCGCCGGGCCCGAGGCAGAGCUCUCAGACACCGGCUAUGCUGGCGGCGACAGUCCCGGUGGCGCCGAGGCCUAGGGACGUCCUGCUGUCGCCGGAGAUUGGUUCUCUAGGUUUCUGAGGAGGGUGAUCGUCGCGGCGCUCCGGGGCCGGGCUCUGGGGUGGCCGGACCGGGUCGACCAGCAUCUCCCCGUGCCCCUGUGGCCGCGGAGAAGGACCGGCCGGACCCUCCCUGGGCCGGGCCGCCGCGGUGGGCAGGGAGAGGGUCUUCCCUGCCCGGAGCGCCUGGACUCGGGCUCGGCGGUCCGGACUCCUCCUGGGCCGCCCUCAGGAGCGUUUGCUUCGCCCUCGGCCCCGCUCCGGAGUGCGCAGUGGCCGCCGUGGCGGCUGCCAAGAGCGCGUGGGCAGAACACCCCGCCCCGCACCUCCCCUCUGGGGGCGGUGGGGGGCGGGUGCGCCGGCCCCGCGGUGGGGCCGUGUGCCGCUCGUUGCCUACCGCGGCCCGCGCCUCCCCCCUUCGAGUUGGGGGAGGGUCCCGCUGGGCCCCGCCGGGCGUCCGGCAGGUGGGGGGGGACCGGAGCGUGCGUGCGCCGCGUGUGCGCGCGGUCGGCCCCCGCGGUGUGGUGAGCCUUGGGGCAAAGGGGGGGAAGGUGUUGGGGGCGCGACGUCCGGUCGGCCCCGGCUUCCCCAGCCCCGCAGCCGUGGUGCGGGAGAGCCUAUCGCGCCCGCCCUCUCCCCACGAGCCGCAGCCGGUGGCGGCGUGCGGUCACGGUCGGGGCCGCCUCGCUCGAGAGCGUGAUCCCCAGGAUGUCGAGCCUCGGGGUGGCAGACUUGGAUCGGAAGACGGAUCUGUCGAGGACGGGUGGCGGAAGAUGGGUUUGGGCGGCUCGCCGGCCCUGGCGGCGGGGCCGGGUCGUGGGGGCCCGCUCUGGGGCUGGCCGGGACCGGUCGGCGUCCCAGGCGUGUCGCGGGACCGCCCUCGUGUGUGGGUGGCGGUGGGACCCCGCGCUGGUUUUCCUGGUGGCCCGGCCGUGUUCCCGGUGUCUUUGUGGUCCCCGGAUGGCGCCCGCGGCCCUGUCCCGCGGCCCCCGCCGUGCGUGCUUGCCGGCCCCUCCCCGCCGCUGCCGGCCUCUCCUCCUCGUCCCGCGCGUGCGACCGCCCCGCGCUCCCUUCCCCUGUCUGGGGCCGAGCCGGCCUCGCCUCAUGUGGGUGUCGUUCCCCCGGCCUCCGUCGGCCGGUGGCGUCCCCGAGGCGGGGCGGCGCGCGGGGAGCCUUGCGCGUGUGGGGGACGUGGGGGCCGCCGGCAGCGGCGGGGAGGGGCCGGCAAGCACGCACGGCGGGGGCCGCGGGACAGGGCCGCGGGCGCCAUCCGGGGACCACAAAGACACCGGGAACACGGCCGGGCCACCAGGAAAACCAGCGCGGGGUCCCACCGCCACCCACACACGAGGGCGGUCCCGCGACACGCCUGGGACGCCGACCGGUCCCGGCCAGCCCCAGAGCGGGCCCCCACGACCCGGCCCCGCCGCCAGGGCCGGCGAGCCGCCCAAACCCAUCUUCCGCCAUCCGUCCUCGACAGAUCCGUCUUCCGAUCUAAGUCUGCCACCCCGAGGCUCGACAUCCUGGGGAUCACGCUCUCGAGCGAGGCGGCCCCGACCGCGACCGCACGCCGCCACCGGCUGCGGCUCGUGGGGAGAGGGCGGGCGCGAUAGGCUCUCCCGCACCACGGCUGCGGGGCUGGGGAAGCCGGGGCCGACCGGACGUCGCGCCCCCAACACCUUCCCCCCUUUGCCCCAAGGCUCACCACACCGCGGGGGCCGACCGCGCGCACACGCGGCGCACGCACGCUCCGGUCCCCCCCACCUGCCGGACGCCCGGCGGGGCCCAGCGGGACCCUCCCCCAACUCGAAGCGGGGAGGCGCGGGCCGCGGUAGGCAACGAGCGGCACACGGCCCCACCGCGGGGCCGGCGCACCCGCCCCCCACCGCCCCCAGAGGGGAGGUGGGGGGCGGGGUGUUCUGCCCACGCGCUCUUGGCAGCCGCCACGGCGGCCACUGCGCACGCAGGAGGGGCAGCAGCUGGGGGGUCCGAUACCCCAAGGCUCCCUCUCGGAUCGCUAGAGAAGGCUUUCUCACCGAGGGCUCGCCGCCCCUCACCCGGAUCGUCUCUCUCCUUCGGGCCCACGGAGGCGCUCCACGAGCCACCAGUCCUCAGCUGGGGUGGGAGGGGUCUGCGGUACAGGUAGGCGGAGCACCAACACAGGAGCGUCUGCGUGGCCGGGGCCAGCGCAGAGCCCGCGUCCCGUCCCCUGCAAGGCCUCACCCGUCAGCCUCGACGACGAGGGGAACAGGCACGCCUCUCCUACCGCCUCGACCCCCCCCAAAAGAGAGCCCACUCACGGGACACACACACACCACCGCGGUGGGGACCCGAGGAGGACACCGGGGUUAAGGGAAACGACACCACCGCUCGGCCUCAGGCACCUGAGCGACGACCUGGAGCGCUCCAGGGGCACCACCGAGGGUCCAACGAGGCACGCUCGCGCACCCGCGCGGGGGGGGGCGCAGCGCAGCAGCGGUACAGCCCUCCCCACCGCGGGGAGGGCCGCUCGCGGAGCACACGCCGGGAAGGCGAAGCGAGAGCAUCUGCUGUGUCAGAAGACCCACGGCCCCCACCGACGCCCCCCGAGGCGGGGGACAGGAGACCGAAGGUCAGGGCCAGAGGCCGCAACCCAGCCCCCGCCUUCCUCCCCCUCCCCGACGGCCAGGGGGGAAAAGUCAGGCGAGGGGCCCCGCGGACAGACCGAGAAGAGCAGACACGUUCACCGGGAACACCUGUCCCUCGUCUGGCACGGCUUAGGCCCGGCCCGGGAGAGCACGACCACACCACAUCGAUCGGAUGAGCCAAGGUGGAGCGGGGGGAAGGCACGGCGAGGACAGUCACCAGAGGGGCCCGCUUUAAGCCUCACCGGCAACCUCCGCCCCCCACCUCGCCUCAGGCGAGAGCGGCCCACGACCCCAGGAGGUUCGAGAACGCCUGACACGUGGCACGGAGCCCACAGGGCGGGGGUCGCAUCUCAGCCUUCACCGGGUGCCCGCAGCGGGGAGCGCACAGGGUAGAAGACCCACGGCGCCUCGCCCCGCCGCCCUCGGGUCGCCCAGAGACCGGAGGUGGCACCACGAGUCGGGUCAGCCAGACAACGCCACACAGGAGCCGGCGCACAGGCCCAGGCGGGCGGCUCCAGCGGCAAGGGCCGAACCGGCGACCAGAGCUGGCGGCCCGAAGGCCCAGAGCCCCGCGUACAUCCAGAGACCCAAAGUUUCCUCGGCGGC